GCCAGGGAGACGCUUUCAAACACCUCUCAGAAGCUAAAGAGUCUUCAGGAGUUUAAAAAUGAGGAAUUCAGAACAGACCUUAGGAAAAGAGAAAUGAACAAAGGCAUGGAAACAAUCAGAAAUCAUCUGAGUGACAAGCAGAGUGAGUUACAGCAGCUGCAGUCACAGUGUGAGGUGUUUCAAAGAAAAAUUCAAGAGUCGACAGAAAAACUAACAUUGAGAGACGACCAAAUCAAAGCCUUGGUGAAAGAGAGAAUUCAGUAUUCAUUUAGAAAACAUUCACCUGCCAGUUUGCUCACAGGAUAUUUGAUCAAAUCCAUCAAAAUAUUAUGAAGUCAUUUAAAAUUUUUUGAAUAUUCUGAUUGUAACAAUCAUGAGCUCAUGUUACUUCCUUUUUUUUUAUCCCCUGAAAAAGCUUUUGUGCCAAUUAUUCAUUUCACUUACCUUUUUUUAAGGUCAAAACAUUAAAAGCUGGAAAAGAUGAUAAAGAAGAGAUAUUUAUGAUAAAGAAGAAUGAAGUAUUGCAGCUUCAAAACCAAAUACAAACAUCUGUAAGCAUAAGUGCCUGUUAUUUUAAAUGAUAUAAAUCAGAGGUGAAACUAAGUGCCGUGUUGGAGAUGUCAACCCUCACGUCCUCUGGAGGGCAGGAAAGGCCCACGAUUCCUUGCACUGAUCUGCUGUGUUUAUUCUCUGAGCCUCCAUUUUGUCUAAGCCCUGAUUUCACAAUUACACUACGCUUGAGUGAAUGAGCUGCAGAGCGCUCACUUGUUUCUUUAGCAGUUUGUUUAUUCCUUUUUAAAUCUGUAUUUUGUGCAUUUUUGAUGUUGUUCUGCCACAACAGAGUUUAAUAGUUUAGAAACUUUCCAAAAGAACGAAGCUUGGUUUGACCAUAGGUGGUGCUCUAUAUAUAUAUAUAUACAUAUAUUAAAAUAUUACCUUUUGUUUGUGUUUAGCCUUGCAUAUGUGAAUAUGGUUGAAUAUUUAGCUUCCAAACAAAGACUUGGUUAUAAAAAAAAGUCCAUACUGGCAUAUUUAUCCACUAAACAGAUGUAAAUAAUGUGUUUAUCAGAAACUUGAAGGUGAUGAAAAGUUGUCUGUAUUGGGUGCAAACUUAAGCCAAACGCGAGACAAAAACAAAGAACACAAAUUGGAAAUUGAAGACUACAAGAGAAAGAUCUACUAAAGGUUUGUCCCAUAAGCUUCAGAUCACACAACAUUUUAGUUUGAAUUUAAAGUAUAUUCCUGGAUAUUAGUGAUUGUCACUAAUGAUUAGCUGUGUCUGCUGUGUUUUGCAUUAAUACGUUAUGUUGCAACAGUAAAAGGCCUAGUCUGCAUUUAUUUCACAGAAAAAUUCAGAAUAUAGUAAUUUAUUGUAAAAUCCUGGUGAUAUUUAAAGGGGUCAUCGGAUGCCCCGAAGUUGAUACGAUUAUUGAGGGUCUCAAUGAAACGUCUGUAACAUAGUUUGGUUAAAAUUUCUCAAUGGUAGUGUAAAACAACACAGUUUUUACCGUCAAGAACAGCUCUUUUCAGAGCAAUCCAUUUUGUAGCAUUUUCCUUUAAAUGCAAAUGAGCUCUGCUGACCCCGCCCCUCUCUUCCGAGCAGAUCUCUGAGGGACUGUUUACUUUAGCAGCGUUCAUCGUGAAACUUGCUAAUUAGCACAUUAUUAGGAAAGGCCACUUGCAAAGAUUAAUAAAAAAAACUGCAAUACUUAUACAGUCUAUACAGUCCAAAUUUCAAGCACAAUAACCUAAUUUUAUCAGACAACAAGAUGUACUUAGAUAAAAAAUAGAUUUUUCAUAGAACUGCAGAAAAUGAAAUCGAUCCAAAUGAAAAACAAUCCACUGUUGUUACUUCCCCUAAAUUGUCCAUGGUACAGCAACAACAAAUGACGUUGCCUCCAUAAGAUCUAUGAAGACCAUAUGUUUCACACACAAGCCAACAGGGCUGUUCAUGUGUUGCCGUUUUGUUGAAUCUGUAACAUCAUGAGAAACUAUGACAUGGAAUAAAA
rnacentral:lncRNA from 1 species